CCAGUCUCUAGCAGAGCAUGGCUGUCCUGGUGCUGCUCCUCUGCCUGGUCACCUUUCCAAGUGUCCUGUCCCAGGUGCAGCUGAAGGAGUCAGGACCUGGCCUGGUGCAACCCUCACAGACCCUGUCUCUCACCUGCACUGUCUCUGGGUUCUCAUUAACUGAUUAUGAUAUUAGCUGGGUUCGCCAGUCUCCAGGAAAGGGUCUGGAGUGGAUGGGAGGAAUAUGGUAUAAUGGAAACACAGAGUAUAAUUCAGCUUUCCAGCCCCGAAUCACCAUCAGCAGGGACACCUCCAAGAACCAAGUUUUCUUAAAAUUGAACAGUCUGCAAAGUGAGGACACAGCCACGUACUACUGUACCAAAGACACAAUGAGGAAACUUCUAGACUCAGAUAACAAGAAUCCACGGCCACUGACCCACACCAUGGAACAAGCAAAAGACAAGGACAAGAACACUCUGUACCUGGAAAUAGGCAGUGUGAAGUCUGAGGACACAGCCAUGUAUUACCGUGCAAAGUACACAGUUAGUGAAUGCUACUAUGAGCUCAGAUGCAAACCUCCCUGCAAGUUCCUAAUGAUCAGCAGGAUGCACUAA